UACGUAGGGUGCAAGCGUUAAUCGGAAUUACUGGGCGUAAAGCGUGCGCAGGCGGUUUUGUAAGCCAGAUGUGAAAUCCCCGGGCUCAACCUGGGAAUGGCAUUUGGGACUGCAAGGCUGGAGUGCGGCAGAGGAGACUGGAAUUCCUGGUGUAGCAGUGAAAUGCGUAGAUAUCUGGAGGAAUACCGGUGGCGAAGGCAGCAUCCUGGACCAACACUGACGCUGAGGCGGCGAAAAGCUAGGGGAGCAAACGGGG
rnacentral:rRNA from 1 species